rnacentral:rRNA from 1 species
AUGGCCCCCAAGGCAGACAAGAAGCCGGCGGCGGAGAACAAGGUCGAGAAGGCGGCGGAGAAGGCCCCCGCGGGCAAGAAGCCCAAGGCCGAGAAGCGGCUGCCGGCGGGCAAGACGGCGGCCAAGGAGGGCGAGGCGAAGACGAGGGGCCGGAAGAAGGGCAGCAAGGCCAAGAAGAGCGUGGAGACGUACAAGAUCUACAUCUUCAAGGUGCUGAAGCAGGUGCACCCGGACAUCGGCAUCUCCUCCAAGGCCAUGUCCAUCAUGAACUCCUUCAUCAACGACAUCUUCGAGAAGCUCGCCGGGGAGUCGGCCAAGCUCGCCCGCUACAACAAGAAGCCGACCAUUACCUCCCGCGAGAUCCAGACCUCCGUCCGCCUCGUCCUCCCCGGCGAGCUCGCCAAGCACGCCGUCUCCGAGGGCACCAAGGCCGUCACCAAGUUCACCUCCUCCUAG